CGUCGAGCUACUACGGUAGUGAAGUCAUUGAUGCCAUGCUUCCAGGAAAAGCCUCUAAGCUUCAGAUUGUAAGGAAUCGUACCCCAAACCGACACAGGUGGUCGGGUAGAGAAUACCAAGGCGCUUGAGAGAACUCGGGUGAAGGAACUAGGCAAAAUGGUACCGUAACUUCGGGAGAAGGUACGCUCUUGAUGGUGAAGUCCCUUGCGGAUGGAGCUGACGAGAGUCGCAGAUACCAGGUGGCUGCAACUGUUUAUUAAAAACACAGCACUGUGCAAAAUCGUAAGAUGACGUAUACGGUGUGACGCCUGCCCGGUGCCGGAAGGUUAAUUGAUGGGGUUAGCGUAAGCGAAGCUCUUGAUCGAAGCCCCGGUAAACGGCGGCCGUAACUAUAACGGUCCUAAGGUAGCGAAAUUCCUUGUCGGGUAAGUUCCGACCUGCACGAAUGGCGUAAUGAUGGCCACGCUGUCUCCACCCGAGACUCAGUGAAAUUGAAAUCGCUGUGAAGAUGCAGUGUACCCGCGGCUAGACGGAAAGACCCCGUGAACCUUUACUACAGCUUGGCACUGAACAUUGAACCUACAUGUGUAGGAUAGGUGGGAGGCUUUGAAGACGUGACGCCAGUUGCGUUGGAGCCGUCCUUGAAAUACCACCCUUGUAUGUUUGAUGUUCUAACGUUGGCCCCUAAUCGGGGUUGCGGACAGUGCCUGGUGGGUAGUUUGACUGGGGCGGUCUCCUCCCAAAGAGUAACGGAGGAGCACGAAGGUGGGCUAAUCACGGUUGGACAUCGUGAGGUUAGUGCAAUGGCAUAAGCCCGCUUAACUGCGAGAAUGACGGUUCGAGCAGGUGCGAAAGCAGGUCAUAGUGAUCCGGUGGUUCUGAAUGGAAGGGCCAUCGCUCAACGGAUAAAAGGUACUCCGGGGAUAACAGGCUGAUACCGCCCAAGAGUUCAUAUCGACGGCGGUGUUUGGCACCUCGAUGUCGGCUCAUCACAUCCUGGGGCUGAAGUCGGUCCCAAGGGUAUGGCUGUUCGCCAUUUAAAGUGGUACGCGAGCUGGGUUUAGAACGUCGUGAGACAGUUCGGUCCCUAUCUGCCGUGGGCGUUGGAAGAUUGAAGGGGGCUGCUCCUAGUACGAGAGGACCGGAGUGGACGAACCUCUGGUGUUCGGGUUGUGUCGCCAGACGCAUUGCCCGGUAGCUAAGUUCGGAAUCGAUAACCGCUGAAAGCAUCUAAGCGGGAAGCGAGCCCUGAGAUGAGUCUUCCCUGAUACUUUAAGUAUCCUGAAGGGUUGUUCGAGACUAGAACGUUGAUAGGCAGGGUGUGUAAGCGCUGUGAGGCGUUGAGCUAACCUGUACUAAUUGCCCGUGAGGCUUAACCAUACAACACCCAAAGGGUUUUG
rnacentral:rRNA from 1 species